GUCGGGCUGGCGCAAUGGUAGCGCGUUGGACUUCUACUUCCGAUUUUAGUUCCCUGGACUAGGUCAGAGCUGGAAGGAAUCCAAAGGUUGCGGGUUCGAGUCAGUACACGUCU